rnacentral:rRNA from 1 species
UCAAGCUAAUAAGGGCUAACGGUGGAUACCUAGGCACACGGAAGCGAAGAAGGACGUAGUUACCGACGAAACGCUUCGGGGAGCGGGAAGCAAGCAUUGAUCCGAAGAUAUCCGAAUGGGGCAACCCUAAACACGACCACCUGAAUACAUAGGGUGGAGCGAGCAAACCUGGUGAACUGAAACAUCUUAGUAGCCAGAGGAAAAGAAAGCAACAGCGAUUCCCCCAGUAGCGGCGAGCGAAAAGGGAACAGCCUAAACCAAGUUCUGCGGAACUUGGGGUCGUGGGACAGUGACAAAAGACUGGGAAAUUUAGACGAAGCGGCUGAAAACCGCACCAGAGAAGGUGAAAGUCCUGUAGUCGAAAAAGGAACCAGCUUAACUGCAUCCCGAGUAGCAUGGGGCACGUGAAAUCCCGUGUGAAUCUGCCUCGACCACGAGGUAAGGCUAAAUAUUCCCGUGUGACCGAUAGAGAAACAGUACCGCGAGGGAAAGGUGAAAAGAACCCCGGAAGGGGAGUGAAAUAGAACAUGAAACCGUUAGCCUACAAGCAAUGGGAGGACGAUUGAACGUCUGACCGUGUGCCUGUUGAAGAAUGAGCCGGCGACUUACAGGUUAUGGCAGGUGAAGGGGGAAGACCCCACAGCCCCAGCGAAAGCGAGUCUGAAUAGGGCGAAACGUCAUAAUUUGUAGACCCGAACCCGGGUGAUCUAACCAUGGCCAGGAUGAAGCUUGGGUAAAACCAAGUGGAGGUCCGAACCGACUAAUGUUGAAAAAUUAGCGGAUGAGCUGUGGUUAGGGGUGAAAUGCCAAUCGAACUCGGAGCUAGCUGGUUCUCCCCGAAAUGUGUUGAGGCGCAGCGGUAGUGGAAGUUUAGUCGGGGUAAAGCACUGUUUCGCCGCGGGCUGGGAGACCGGUACCAAGGCGAGGCAAACUCUGAAUACGGCUAAAAAAACUACCAGUGAGACGGUGGGGGAUAAGCUUCAUCGUCAAGAGGGAAACAGCCCAGACCACCAGCUAAGGUCCCCAAAUGAUAACUAAGUGAGAAAGGAGGUGGGAGUGCAUUGACAACCAGGAGGUUUGCCUAGAAGCAGCAAUCCUUAAAAGAGUGCGUAAUAGCUCACUGGUCAAGCGCUCCUGCGCCGAAAAUGAACGGGGCUAAGUUAUCUACCGAAGCUGUGGACUACAUUGUAGUGGUAGGGGAGCGUUCUAUAGGGGGUGAAGCAGUAGCGGCAAGCAGCUGUGGACUCUAUAGAAGUGAGAAUGUCGGCUUAAGUAGCGAAAAUGUGGGUGAGAAUCCCACACCCCGAAACCCCAAGGUUUCCUCCGCAAGGCUCGUCCGCGGAGGGUCAGUCAGGACCUAAGGCGAGGCUGAAAAGCGUAGUCGAUGGACAACGGGUUAACAUUCCCGUACCGAUUAAUGAUUGUGCCGGAGAACGGAGAAGGUCAACGUCAGCUGGAUGUUGGUUACCAGUGCAAGCAGUCGAGGCGAUGAGAGGUGGUGAAAACACCUGGAGCUAAGACGCGAGUCCCACCUCCCACGGGAGGGAAGUGGCGCUGAUCAAGCUUCCUAGAAAAGCCCGAACCACGUUAAUCAUUAAUUGCCUGUACCCGAAACCGACACAGGUGGGGAAGUAGAGAAUACUAAGGGGCGCGAGAUAACUCUCUCUAAGGAACUCGGCAAAAUGACCCCGUAACUUCGGGAGAAGGGGUACCCUCGCAAGAGGGUCGCAGUGAAUAGGCCCAGGCGACUGUUUACCAAAAACACAGGUCUCCGCCAAGUCGUAAGACGCAGUAUGGAGGCUGACGCCUGCCCAGUGCCGGAAGGUUAAGGAAGUUGGUCAGGAGUAAUCUGAAGCUGACGACCGAAGCCCCGGUGAACGGCGGCCGUAACUAUAACGGUCCUAAGGUAGCGAAAUUCCUUGUCGGGUAAGUUCCGACCCGCACGAAAGGCGUAACGAUCUGGGCACUGUCUCGGAGAGAGACUCGGCGAAAUAGGAUUGUCUGUGAAGAUACGGACUACCUGCACCUGGACAGAAAGACCCUAUGAAGCUUUACUGUAGCCUGGAAUUGGCUUCGGGCUUCGCUUGCGCAGGAUAGGUGGGAAGCUUUGAAACUCUCCUCGUGGGGAGAGUGGAGCUAACGGUGAGAUACCACUCUGGCGAGGCUAGAAUUCUAACCCUGACCCCUAAUCGGGGCGGGAGACAGUUUCAGGUGGGCAGUUUGACUGGGGCGGUCGCCUCCUAAAAGGUAACGGAGGCGCGCAAAGGUUCCCUCGGUCCCGUUGGAAAUGGGACGAUAGAGUGCAAAAGCAGAAGGGAGCUUGACUGUGAGACCCACAAGUCGAACAGGGACGAAAGUCGGCUUUAGUGAUCCGACGGCACCGCGUGGAAGGGCCGUCGCUCAACGGAUAAAAGUUACUCUAGGGAUAACAGGCUGAUCUCCCCCAAGAGUUCACAUCGACGGGGAGGUUUGGCACCUCGAUGUCGGCUCAUCGCAACCUGGGGCUGAAGUCGGUCCCAAGGGUUGGGCUGUUCGCCCAUUAAAGCGGUACGUGAGCUGGGUUCAGAACGUCGUGAGACAGUUCGGUCCAUAUCCGGUGUAGGCGUAAGAGCAUUGCGAGGAGCCUUCCUUAGUACGAGAGGACCGGGAAGGACGCACCGCUGGUGUACCUGUUAUCGUGCCAACGGUAAACGCAGGGUAGCCAUGUGCGGAGCGGAUAACCGCUGAAAGCAUCUAAGUGGGAAGCCCACCUCCAGAUGAUUGCUCUCAUGGCAUUAAGCCAGUAAGGUCUCGGGUAGACUACCCGUUGAUAGGCUCUAGAUGGAAGCUCGGUAACGAGUGCAGUCGAGGAGUACUAACCGACCGAGGGCUUGACCUC